CCAGGCAGCGGGCUCGCCAAAACCAGAGUUUCUGACGAGGCAGGAAUGUCCCUGAAUGGUUUCAUCAUCAGAUCAGCAUUUUCCAGUGGUUUCCCUAGUAGUAAGCUACAUCAAGAGAUCCUACACAUUGAAGUCUUCUGUGCCCCAUGUUGGCAAGCAAGCCAAGACAGGAGUGGCGUGAGUGGGAUGGAGGUUUUGGAACCACACCUAGCUCACAGAAACUUGAAUUGGAGCCAGCUGUGGUACACGCCAAUAAAACCUGCAAUCAGUGACAGCUUUUAUCCCAAAUGUGUCCGGGCUGACUUCCCUUUCAAAAUAAUGGAGCUUGAGACUGCAAACAGGAGUAUAGCUGGGCCCGAAGAUCCACCUGGAGUGAAAAAGGUUAUCUACAGCUUUAUGAGAGACUGA
rnacentral:lncRNA from 1 species